AUCUGCACCUCAGAACCCACACCUGCUUCUCUGCAUUCCUCCCUCCCCCCAAACCUUUCCCAGGUUCUGCUAAUCACUGUUCUAUCCUCUACUUCUUAAGAGUUCAACUUUUUGAAUUUUCACAUAAGAACAUGGUAUUUGUCUUCCAUGCCUGACUUAUUUUACUCAACAGUGCCUCAUUCCAUCCAUGUUGCUGCAAUGACAGAAUUUUUUUUAUUAUUAUUUCUAUAGCUGAUAAUGGUGCACUGAGUAUAGAGAACACAUUUUCUUUAUCCAUUCACUCAUCCAUAGACACUAGAUUGAUUCCGUAGCUUGGCUGUUGUAAAUGUGAAAGUGCAGAUGUCUCUUCAACAUUUAUCCCCAACAGUGGCAUUACUGGAUCACAUGCUCAUUCUAUUGUUAGUUUUCUGAGGCACCUCCAUCCUGUUUUCCAUAAGGAUCACACUAAUUUACAUUCCUACCAACAGUGUAUGAGGGUUCUCCUUUCUCCACUUCCUGGCCAAGAUUUGUCUUUUAUUUAUUUCUUUUAUAUCUUUUUGAUAUUAUUUUGAAGAUUAGGGAUGUUGAGCAUUUUCUCCUAUACGUGUUGGCCAUUGGUAUAUCCUCUUUCCAGCAGUAUCUGUUCAGGUCGUACACCAUUAUUAAAUUGGAUUGUUUGGUAUUUGCUGUUGAGUUGUUUAAGUUCCUUAUAUAUUCCUUGUAUAUUAUUGGAUGAAUAGUUUGCACAUAAUUUUCUCCCAUUCUGUAGAUUGUCUUUUCUGAUAUUGUUUCCUUUGCUGCACAGAAGUUUUUUACUUUAAUGUAAUUUCAUUUGUCUAAUUUUACUUGUUGCCUAGGCUUUAGGGUUCAUAUUUAAAAAAAUCUUAACUAGACCCUUAUUAUUUGCUUCUAGUCAUUUAAUAAUUUCAGGUCAUACAUUUAAGUCUGAUCCAUUUCAAGUUGAUUUUUAUAUACAGUACGAGUUAGGGUCUAGUUUCUUUCCUCUGCGGAUAAAUAUUCAAUGUUCCCAGAACCAGUUAUAAAAGAGAUUGUCCUUGGAUGUUCUUGCUGCCUUUAAUAAAAAUCAGUUGGCUGAAAAUACAAGGAAUUGAAUUCAUCCCAUUGGUCUGUGUGUCUGUUUUUAUCUGCUGUUUUAGUUACUAUCACUUUGUAGUAUGUUUUGAAGUCAGAGAUUCUAAUGACACAGCUUUGUUCGUUUUUCUCAGAUUGCUUGGACAGGUCUUUUGUGGUUCCAUAUAACUUUUUUUCUAUUUCUGUGAAAAUUUCCAUUGGUAUUUUGACAGGAAUUGCAUUUAGAAUAUAGAUCACUUUGGGUACUGUGGACAAUUCUUCCAACCAUGAGUAUGGGAUGCUCCAUCCAUUCUCUUUGCCUCAAAACACAUACCUAUUGUGAUCUCACAGUCAAAGCCAAGCAGCAUUUUCAGCCACCUUUAGUGUAUUUCCACUUGCAUAUUUCCCUACUGCCUCUGAAUCAAGGGACUAAAACCGAAAUCACUCAUUUCUUCUCUUCCCAAUGUCUUCACUUCUCUCCUUAGCCUCCUUGUUCCUUUGUACUCCUUGAUAUUUUUAAUUUGCCUUUUUUUUUUUUACUCAUUCACAAACUCAGUUUCUGCUUCUUAUUCUGUUUGUCACUCCAACCUUGAGCUCAAAUAUUGCCUCUUCAAAGAAACCUUCCUUGAUUUUCCUAUCUAAGCUAGCUUCCUUAGUUACUCUCCAUCUUAGCAUUCUGGUUUUCUUCUUCAUACUCUUUAUCUUGGAGAACUUGUUUAUUGACUGUCCUCUCUAUAACAAAUAAGGGAUUUUGCCUGAUCUCUUCAUUGCUGUCUUCUUAGUGCCAAACACUCUGCAUAUGGUGCAGAGUAAUAUUUUCUCUAUAUAUAUUUUUAUAAAGGAUUAUGUGUGAGUGUGUGUGAUUUAUUAACCAUUCAAACAUCUAUAGCGUAAACAUAAUAGAAAUGGGCUAAAUAAUAAUUUACCCUAUGGAUAGUACAAGGUUCACAAAAGAGUUUAGUAACACUUGGCAAUCACCACUCGAAAUCCCAUCCACCUGUUCCUUACCAGCUUGAAGUCUGUUGCAGUAAAAAGCAACAGUGUUUUAGGAGUCAGCAACCUGGCUCUGUAGUAUGAAGGAAAACAAACUCGUGCCUUAUUUAAAUAAGUCUCAUAUUUGUGAAAGAGCAAUAAGCUUCCAACUUGCUUAAUCCACUCUUGUUUAGUUGUUUUGGUCUUUUCGUGGCAGGAGCAGAUGGGUCUGUUGUCAUAUGCCUUCUACUCUUAGUCCUAACUAGUACAUCAGCUAAUGGCUGAUGGCAUAUUGACCUAGAUGCAGUGGAUGCAGUAAAGAAGUUCAAAGUGAAAAGAUUUGGGAAUAUUUGAGGGCCAGAAUCAACUUUCAUUUUGGGCUAUCUAUUAGGUAUGGGUUGUGACAGAUUUGACUCCAAAUUUUUUACUUCUCUAACAAAGUAAAUAGUAAUUUACUAGUAUGGGAGAAAACAAGACUUGUUAAGAUGAUAGCAAAUGAAUUUUAA
rnacentral:lncRNA from 1 species